rnacentral:rRNA from 1 species
ACGGCUCAGUAACACGUGGAUAACCUACCCUUAGGACUGGGAUAACCCCGGGAAACUGGGGAUAAUACCGGAUAUGUAGUAUUGCCUGGAAUGGUUUUCUAUUUAAAGCUCCGGCGCCUAAGGAUGGAUCUGCGGCUGAUUAGGUAGUUGGUGGGGUAAAGGCCCACCAAGCCUGUGAUCGGUACGGGUUGUGAGAGCAAGAGCCCGGAGAUGGAACCUGAGACACGAAUCCAGGCCCUACGGGGCGCAGCAGGCGCGAAAACUUUACAAUGCGAGAAAUCGUGAUAAGGGAACCCCGAGUGCCCGUAAAUCCGGGCUGUCCGCCAGUGUAAAUAACUGGUGAAGAAAGGGCCGGGCAAGACCGGUGCCAGCCGCCGCGGUAAUACCGGCGGCUCGAGUGGUGGCCGCUAUUACUGGGCUUAAAGCGUUCGUAGCUGGGCUGUUAAGUCCCCUGGGAAAUCCACCGGCUCAACCGAUGGGCGUUCAGGGGAUACUGGCAGCCUAGGGACCGGGAGAGGUGAGGGGUACUCCAGGGGUAGGAGUGAAAUCCUGUAAUCCUUGGGGGACCACCUGUGGCGAAGGCGUCUCACUAGAACGGCUCCGACAGUGAGGAACGAAAGCUGGGGGAGCAAACCGGAUUAGAUACCCGGGUAGUCCCAGCUGUAAACGAUGCGCGUUAGGUGUAUCGGUGACCACGAGUCACCGAGGUGCCGAAGAGAAAUCGUGAAACGUGCCGCCUGGGAAGUACGGUCGCAAGGCUGAAACUUAAAGGAAUUGGCGGGGGAG